GACGAACGCUAGCGGCGUGCCUAAUGUAUGCAAGUCGAACGGCCCGCAAGGGCAGUGGCGAACGGUUGAGUAACACGUAGACAACCUGCCUCCAGGUGGGGGAUAACCGCGGGAAACUGCGGCUAAUACCGCAUGUGGUGGGGAGCGGCUUCGCUUUUUGACUAAAGGAGCAAUCCGCCUGGAGAUGGGUCUGCGGCCUAUCAGCUAGUUGGCGGGGUAACGGCCCACCAAGGCGACGACGGGUAGCUGGUCUGAGAGGAUGAUCAGCCAGACGGGG
rnacentral:rRNA from 1 species